GAUGAACGCUGGCGGCGUGCCUAAUACAUGCAAGUCGGGCGAACAGAUGAGGAGCUUGCUCCUCUGACGUUAGCGGCGGACGGGUGAGUAACACGUGGAUAACCUACCUAUAAGACUGGGAUAACUUCGGGAAACCGGAGCUAAUACCGGAUAAUAUAUUGAACCGCAUGGUUCAAUAGUGAAAGACGGUUUUGCUGUCACUUAUAGAUGGAUCCGCGCCGCAUUAGCUAGUUGGUAAGGUAACGGCUUACCAAGGCAACGAUGCGUAGCCGACCUGAGAGGGUGAUCCGCCACACUGGAACUGAGACACGGUCCAGACUCCUACGGGAGGCAGCAGUAGGGAAUCUUCCGCAAUGGGCGAAAGCCUGACGGAGCAACGCCGCGUGAGUGAUGAAGGUCUUCGGAUCGUAAAACUCUGUUAUUAGGGAAGAACAAAUGUGUAAGUAACUAUGCACGUCUUGACGGUACCUAAUCAGAAAGCCACGGCUAACUACGUG
rnacentral:rRNA from 1 species